rnacentral:rRNA from 1 species
AAUAGAUACCCCGGUAGUCCACGCUGUAAACGGUGGGUACUAGGUGUGGGUCCAUUCCACGGGUUCCGUGCCGUAGCUAGCGCUUUAAGUACCCCGCCUGGGAGUACGGCCGCAAGGCUAAAACUCAAAGGAAUUGACGGGGCCCCGCACAAGCGGCGGAGCAUGCGGAUUAAUUCGAUGCAACGCGUAGAACCUUACCUGGGUUUGACAUGGAUCGGGAGCGCUCAGAGAUGGGUGUGCCUCUUUUGGGGUCGGUUCACAGGUGGUGCAUGGCUGUCGUCAGCUCGUGUCGUGAGAUGUUGGGUUAAGUCCCGCAACGAGCGCAACCCUUGUUCACUGUUGCCAGCACGUUAUGGUGGGGACUCAGUGGAGACCGCCGGGGUCAACUCGGAGGAAGGUGGGGAUGACGUCAAGGUCAUCAUGCCCCUUAUGUCCAGGGCUUCACGCAUGCUACAAUGGCUGGUACAGAGAGUGGCGAGCCUGUGAGGGUGAGCGAAUCUCGGAAAGCCGGUCUCAGUUCGGAUUGGGGUCUGCUAACG